GCGCAUUUGGUGUAAUGGUAUCAUAGUACCCUCCCACGGUACUGAUCGGGGUUUAAUUUCCCGAAUGCGCA
rfam:Ipomoea nil DNA, scaffold: scaffold1720, cultivar: Tokyo-kokei standard.